AUAUCUGUAGUUUAUUAAAACGGUAAGUUGCAAACUUACACAUUGCCUCGCACAGAUGUU
rnacentral:tRNA from 1 species